rnacentral:rRNA from 1 species
AGAGUUUGAUCCUGGCUCAGAAUCAACGCUGGCGGCGUGCCAAACACAUGCAAGUCGAACGCGAGAGGGGCUUCGGCCCCAAUUGAGUGGCGAACGGGUGAGUAACGCGUGGGUGACCUACCUCCGAGUGGGGGAUAACGUCCCGAAAGGGACGCUAAUACCGCAUAACAUCCUGCCUUUGAACAGGUGGAGAUCAAAGCUGGGGAUCGCAAGACCUAGCGCUUGAAGAGGGGCCCGCGUCUGAUUAGCUAGUUGGUGGGGUAAUGGCUCACCAAGGCGACGAUCAGUAUCCGGCCUGAGAGGGCGGACGGACACACUGGGACUGAGACACGGCCCAGACUCCUACGGGAGGCAGCAGUGGGGAAUUGUUCGCAAUGGGCGCAAGCCUGACGACGCAACGCCGCGUGGAGGAUGAAGGUCUUCGGAUUGUAAACUCCUGUUGCCCGGGACGAAAAGCUUUGACCUAACACGUCAAAGUCUGACGGUACCGGGUGAGGAAGCCCCGGCUAACUCUGUGCCAGCAGCCGCGGUAAUACAGAGGGGGCAAGCGUUGUUCGGAAUUACUGGGCGUAAAGGGCGCGUAGGCGGCCUGUUAAGUCGAACGUGAAAUCCCCGGGCUCAACCCGGGAACUGCGUCCGAUACUGGCUGGCUUGAAUCCGGGAGAGGGAUGUGGAAUUCCAGGUGUAGCGGUGAAAUGCGUAGAUAUCUGGAGGAACACCGGUGGCGAAGGCGACAUCCUGGACCGGCAUUGACGCUGAGGCGCGAAAGCUAGGGGAGCAAACGGGAUUAGAUACCCCGG